AUCGUUUUCCUUGUUUCACUAAAAUAAUUUAUCAAAAUCGUUUAAAAUAAGAGCACAUCUCUUAUCGUCGCUGUAAUAUUGUUUAAAAAAAAAAAGCUCUCAAUUUUGCUCAUUUUCAUUAUCAUAGUUAUCAAAAUAUUUUCGAUUCUCGGUCCGAAAUUUUUUUCUAAUCCUAUUCAUAUUACUUUUUGCAUAACCUUAUUCUAAAUCCCAUUAUUGCUAUUUAAUUGAUCUUGCGAAAAUUGAGCAUUUUCGCCUUUUAUUCAAAUUUUCGCAAUAUUAACGCACGUGAAAAUUUUGCGUUUCUAAAAUACGAAUAAC